rnacentral:rRNA from 1 species
AGGGAAACCGAGUCUUAACUGGGCGUUAAGUUGCAGGGUAUAGACCCGAAACCCGGUGAUCUAGCCAUGGGCAGGUUGAAGGUUGGGUAACACUAACUGGAGGACCGAACCGACUAAUGUUGAAAAAUUAGCGGAUGACUUGUGGCUGGGGGUGAAAGGCCAAUCAAACCGGGAGAUAGCUGGUUCUCCCCGAAAGCUAUUUAGGUAGCGCCUCGUGAAUUCAUCUCCGGGGGUAGAGCACUGUUUCGGCAAGGGGGUCAUCCCGACUUACCAACCCGAUGCAAACUGCGAAUACCGGAGAAUGUUAUCACGGGAGACACACGGCGGGUGCUAACGUCCGUCGUGAAGAGGGAAACAACCCAGACCGCCAGCUAAGGUCCCAAAGUCAUGGUUAAGUGGGAAACGAUGUGGGAAGGCCCAGACAGCCAGGAUGUUGGCUUAGAAGCAGCCAUCAUUUAAAGAAAGCGUAAUAGCUCACUGGUCGAGUCGGCCUGCGCGGAAGAUGUAACGGGGCUAAACCAUGCACCGAAGCUGCGGCAGCGACGCUUAUGCGUUGUUGGGUAGGGGAGCGUUCUGUAAGCCUGCGAAGGUGUGCUGUGAGGCAUGCUGGAGGUAUCAGAAGUGCGAAUGCUGACAUAAGUAACGAUAAAGCGGGUGAAAAGCCCGCUCGCCGGAAGACCAAGGGUUCCUGUCCAACGUUAAUCGGGGCAGGGUGAGUCGACCCCUAAGGCGAGGCCGAAAGGCGUAGUCGAUGGGAAACAGGUUAAUAUUCCUGUACUUGGUGUUACUGCGAAGGGGGGACGGAGAAGGCUAUGUUGGCCGGGCGACGGUUGUCCCGGUUUAAGCGUGUAGGCUGGUUUUCCAGGCAAAUCCGGAAAAUCAAGGCUGAGGCGUGAUGACGAGGCACUACGGUGCUGAAGCAACAAAUGCCCUGCUUCCAGGAAAAGCCUCUAAGCAUCAGGUAACAUCAAAUCGUACCCCAAACCGACACAGGUGGUCAGGUAGAGAAUACCAAGGCGCUUGAGAGAACUCGGGUGAAGGAACUAGGCAAAAUGGUGCCGUAACUUCGGGAGAAGGCACGCUGAUAUGUAGGUGAAGCGACUUGCUCGUGGAGCUGAAAUCAGUCGAAGAUACCAGCUGGCUGCAACUGUUUAUUAAAAACACAGCACUGUGCAAACACGAAAGUGGACGUAUACGGUGUGACGCCUGCCCGGUGCCGGAAGGUUAAUUGAUGGGGUUAGCGGUAACGCGAAGCUCUUGAUCGAAGCCCCGGUAAACGGCGGCCGUAACUAUAACGGUCCUAAGGUAGCGAAAUUCCUUGUCGGGUAAGUUCCGACCUGCACGAAUGGCGUAAUGAUGGCCAGGCUGUCUCCACCCGAGACUCAGUGAAAUUGAACUCGCUGUGAAGAUGCAGUGUACCCGCGGCAAGACGGAAAGACCCCGUGAACCUUUACUAUAGCUUGACACUGAACAUUGAGCCUUGAUGUGUAGGAUAGGUGGGAGGCUUUGAAGUGUGGACGCCAGUCUGCAUGGAGCCGACCUUGAAAUACCACCCUUUAAUGUUUGAUGUUCUAACGUUGGCCCGUAAUCCGGGUUGCGGACAGUGUCUGGUGGGUAGUUUGACUGGGGCGGUCUCCUCCUAAAGAGUAACGGAGGAGCACGAAGGUUGGCUAAUCCUGGUCGGACAUCAGGAGGUUAGUGCAAUGGCAUAAGCCAGCUUGACUGCGAGCGUGACGGCGCGAGCAGGUGCGAAAGCAGGUCAUAGUGAUCCGGUGGUUCUGAAUGGAAGGGCCAUCGCUCAACGGAUAAAAGGUACUCCGGGGAUAACAGGCUGAUACCGCCCAAGAGUUCAUAUCGACGGCGGUGUUUGGCACCUCGAUGUCGGCUCAUCACAUCCUGGGGCUGAAGUAGGUCCCAAGGGUAUGGCUGUUCGCCAUUUAAAGUGGUACGCGAGCUGGGUUUAGAACGUCGUGAGACAGUUCGGUCCCUAUCUGCCGUGGGCGCUGGAGAACUGAGGGGGGCUGCUCCUAGUACGAGAGGACCGGAGUGGACGCAUCACUGGUGUUCGGGUUGUCAUGCCAAUGGCACUGCCCGGUAGCUAAAUGCGGAAGAGAUAAGUGCUGAAAGCAUCUAAGCACGAAACUUGCCCCGAGAUGAGUUCUCCCUGAGACUUUAAGUCUCCUGAAGGAACGUUGAAGACGACGACGUUGAUAGG